UUUCCCCCAUUCCUUUUCUUGCUUUCCCUCUCCUUUUCCCCUCAUUUUGAUUCUUCCAAUUUUCCUUCACAUCUUUUGAUUUCCCUCCCAUCUUUCCCCCAUUUUGCCCUCAAAUUUCAUCCAUCUCUCUUCUCACAAUUCUCUCUUCUGUCAUUCUUCUUGUGGUUUCUUCUUCUGGCAUUCAAUUUUGACCACCAUCUCUCUUCCGGUAAAAUCCAAUCCCAACACUUUUGGAGUCGGGAGCUUAAUGGAGUCAAAAGAAUCAACUUAGAAGAAGAGCAAAUACAAACUAUCGUUCUACCCUUUAAAAGAAACAAAUUUACACACUUCAAUACCACUCGGAGCAUUGCAACACUCUUCCCAUAACUAGGUCCAACACUAGCUCAAUGCUAUAAGAUAGAAUGCUUCAAUUUGUUGCAAAAUAGGGAAGUAUUGCGACACUACACCCAACAUUACAAUGCUCUGGACAUUGAUGAAAAAAAUAAAAUGGUGUGCGUUGGUCGCAACGCAGCAUUGGAGUCAGCAUCAGCUUAGGGUCGCAACAAAUAAAACUUCAAAUUUUCUAGAAUUCUUCAGCAUAGGGAGAUAUCAAUUUUGACGAACUUGAGAGCUUUUCUUUCUAAUUCUUGAGAAAUUCUAUAAAAUUUUAUUCAAUCUUGGUACAUUUCAA